rnacentral:rRNA from 1 species
AGAGCGAACGCUGGCGGCAGGCCUAACACAUGCAAGUCGAGCGCCCCGCAAGGGGAGCGGCAGACGGGAGAGUAACACGUGGGAACGUACCCUUCAGUUCGGAACAACCCAGGGAAACUUGGGCUAAUACCGGAUACGUCCGUAAGGAGAAAGAUUUAUCGCUGAAGGAUCGGCCCGCGUCUGAUUAGCUUGUUGGUGAGGUAACGGCUCACCAAGGCUACGAUCAGUAGCUGGUCUGAGAGGAUGAUCAGCCUCACUGGGACUGAGACACGGCCCAGACUCCUACGGGAGGCAGCAGUGGGAAUAUGGACAAUGGGCGCAAGCCUGAUCCAGCCAUGCCGCGUGGGUGAUGAAGGCCCUAGGGUUGUAAAGCCCUUUGGCGGGGAAGAUAAUGACGGUACCCGCAGAAGAAGCCCCGGCUAACUUCGUGCCAGCAGCCGC